rnacentral:lncRNA from 1 species
GGCGGGAGCUGGGCCUGAGCCCGGGAACGCGCCUGAUCGGGGCGGAGGAGCCGCUGUCCCCACAGCCGCCCCACCCGCGCCGCUGCCUCGCUGGGGCCCGGGCCCCCUUCCUGGUCCGAAACCCCAGAGAGAUUGGUGAUGGUGAUUUCCCAGGAAGACGUGGUGUGCUCCAACUUCUGUGACAGUGAGCAACGGGACCAAUGGAUGUCCGGAUGCUGGCAAUGAGACAUGCUCUGGAGUCAGAAGACAGCAAAAAGAGAAGCAGAAGUCCCGGUGGCAAGAGUCCAAAGCAGGAAGGAAUCACUGUAACCUGUGGAUUGUACUGCAGUAGGAAACUAUCCUAGCAAGGCUCCACUUUGCCCCAGCUUCAAGCUGGAAAGGAGGAGAACAUGAAACGUUGCUUGAAGACAAUGGCCGAGACAGCAGGUCCCACCCUGCACAGCCGCCAACAUCUCUUCCCUCAGCCUUGUCUCUUCUUCUGCAGUUGGGAUCUGCACAUUUAAGCCUGAAAUUGUCCUGUGAAGUGAAGUAUGAUCGGACAGCCUCUUUUCAGCUUUUAUGAAAAUGGAGACAGAGGAAUUGUGGCUCUUGCCAAGGUCACAGGAUUGGAACACAGAGCCAAGCCACCCCAGGACAUGCAAGAGCCUCAGAAGGGAAAAAGCCCAGCAGGAAGGGAGAACAAGUAGCCUCUGUUCUGAGGUUGUAACAGCCAGGGACCAGGAUGGAGGAGGAGGACUCCGUAAUCCUGCCCAUCUGGGACUUGGCAGGGGACCUGGGAAAAUGUACCCCAAUCCAUCCCUCAAGGGCCUUUGCCUUUGGCCCAUUGGCCUAGCAUCUCCUUCUUCACUAUGUCUGUUCUUGUCAGAUCUGUUUGGGUCUGAGGUGCAUGGAACAUUCUGGGUAGGCCUCCAGCAAACGGAAGCUCUUCACCGUGUUUCCAGCCUAGGACCAAGAGCAGCACACUGGCAAAGUUGCCAAAGCAAGGGACUCCAGCCUGCUAGGAGUUAACGACUCCCUCUCCCCAGCUGUCCUCCCCUUGGUGCUCCUCUUCCUCCCUCCUCCUGCUCACAGCAGGCAGGGCCUGGACCCGGGAGCCAUGCUGCUGUGCUGUUGCCAGGGGAGUCCGGAGGCAGAUCUGAGCUAUGCAGGGAAAAGGCCCGGCCUGUCAAAGUGUCUGAGAUGAACCGCCGCCGUCCCUGUGCAGCUGGGCUCAGACGUGUCUCAGCUCUUGUUCUGUGCCUGAGAAUGGCGAAACCCAGUGAGGUUCAAGGGCAAACUCGCUAUUCAUUAGUCAGGGGUUCUUGACGUCCCGUCUCUCCCAGGGAUGGGUUCCCCCCCUUCCUCUUUCUCCCCCUCCUAUGACACAUUCCUGGGUGCCUUUGGUGAGGACUGCACACCCUCCUCCUGCCUAGCCCCCUUUCCAAGGGCCUCUGAAUAAACUCCCCCCAAGGAGACCAGGCAGGGUAGAGACAAUGGCUGCAGGAAAUCAUUCAGGCGGGACAUGCUGGCCUGCCCUCCACCCAGUCCCCCUGUGGGCCCCACUCCCUUCUGAUUCAGGGCACCCUUGGGCCCCUAGCCUAUACAGGCCUGGAUAGGAAGAAGCCACUAGGAACAACCCUGAGGACAUCAUGUUAGUCCAGUGCCAUUCUCCGCUGGCUCUGUGGGUGCCUUUGUGGCCUGCACCAACUGGCAGGCUAAUUUUGUGGUUUCUGUACCAUCACAUGCCUAUUUCAAGACACUCUCAAGCACUGUCAGUUGGGGAGUGUAAAUUCUACAAUAUUUUCUGAAAUGUGGCAAUAUCAAAAUGUAAAAGGCAAAUAUACUUGGUCACAAAAAUGGCACUGUUUACUCUGUGGGCAUAUUUGUAAAAGUUCCCAAAGAAUUACAUACAAGGAUGUUCAUCAGAGCAUUUCUUUUGAAGAGUGUAAAGAAAUGGACAUGAACCUAUGGUCUGUUCAUACUGUGGAAUACCUAUGCAGCUGUAAAAAUCAGUGUGGUAGAUCUCCGUAUAUGAGUUGAUGUGGAAGGUUGGCCAGUUCACAUGAUAAGGUGAAUAGAAUAAGUUACAGAACAGGCUGUGGAGUAUGAUCUUAUUUGUAGAUGUUUAAAAGUGAGUCAUAAGUAUGCUUAUAUACGGAAGUAUGUACUGGAAGGCUACCUCUAGGGAGUGGGCAUGGGGGAAUGCACUCUUCUAUACUGUUCUGUUUUCUUUUCGUGCUCCUAAGAUACUUUUAUUGAAAGAUGUAAAGGGUUGUUCAGUAUAAUAGGCUUAACUUCUAUCAACUAACUUGGCGUGGGUGCUUUAAGAGGGUGGUAGUGAUGUUACUGGAGAAAGUAUCCCACAAUUACUGGUGGCUUCAGCCAUGGGCCAUUUUGGGGCCUAAUAAUCACAUAUCAUCAUGGUUGCUAGUGUUAAUCGAAAACCUACUAAGUGCCAGGCUUACUGUCUCUGGGUCUUGCUUACGUGGGUAUCAUUAUUCCAGUUUCACCAAAUCAAAAGAAGUUAAUUGGUUUGUUGCAGCUCCUCUGCAGGUGAGGGGCAGAGCCAGGAGCUUGGCUAGGGACAGGGGAGGUGGGUGGGGGAUGGUGGCUAGAUCUUGGCUCUCAGUUUCUUUCCAUGCAGACAUUGCCCCUCUGCCCUGAGGACCUGCUUGUUUGGGGGAGGAGGCCUUUGGAGGCACCGGGGUCAUGCCAGGUGUUGGACAUGGUGAACUGGGAAGUGUUCCCAUUUGGCCAUAGCCCAAAAGUAUCACCGUGCUGGGGGGUGGGGAACAGGGCUGUGAAUGGGCCUAUUUGCAUAAGCAGCAUGUGUGGAGAGAAAGACAUCGCAGAGCAGAAGAGGUGUGGGUGCCCAGUAGGGCAAUUGCCACCCCUACUUCAUCCCUGAAAGAGUAAAUGGCCUGGAAAGUGUCUCCAAGAGGUAAUGCUGCACACUACCCUCCCUGGUGGCACUGGGUCAGGUUACACCUGCCUUAGGUCGGUGGCUGCAGCAGCCUGCAGAGCUCUCAGUAGUGCCUCAGUAGCCUGGGAGGGAGUAGGGGCAGGGGGCAGGAAGAGGCAUAAUGGGGCUGUCCAGAGGGGUCUGGGAAACCUGGUCCCUGAGGCCUGGGCACAGCUACAGUCACUUCAGAUUGGCUGUGGGGCCAGUGGACUGGGAAGGAAAAAAGCAUUAAGAGUGACCAAGUGCAGAAGGCUGUCAGGUCCCAGGUCACAUGCCUUAGUGCAGUGACUCCUCAUCAUUUUGUGGUGUGUGGGUGUCAUUGGUACACCCAUUUUGCAGAUGAGGACACUGAGGCCCAGAAAAGUUAAGUUACAUGUCCUAAGUCACACAGCUUGUAAGUGCCAGAACUGAGAUCAAAACCAAGUCUCUUUGACUUUGAAGUCUGUACUUUGACUCCAAAGACAUCCUGUUUCGUUUGGCCACUUAUAGGAGGUCCCUAAAGCUGCAGACUCCCCUUGCCAGUGCCCACAUAUAGAGACAUUAACCCCUGCCCUGCAGGGUCACCUCAAAUAAUCUUUUAGCUGGGCUUCUCCCACAGUUCCACCUAAUGCCAUCCCCUGGGUUUUGCCCAAACCUGGACUGGGCAGCGGGGUGAGAGGAGGGGUUUACAGGGUUACAGAGCCUCAUACAGAUUGGAGCCCAUGGCUGCUGGUCAUCUGUAUCCCUGCAGGAUUGGCUGUUCCUUGGGGUCCUUGGCAGGAAGAUGAGGAUGCUCCCGAGACCUGCUCCAGUGCUUGCCAGAGGCUGGCCUGGUGGCCUCUGGAAAGACUGAGGCUGGAGAGGCAGAAGUAGGAGAGCAGCAAUGGCACUCAGGUAGCUUGAAUCACCAGGACCCUUCCAAGCCCCACAGGUCCUCCUGAGGGAGUACUAGGGCAUCCUCUGGGAGAGGUCUCUUCCUAUGCUGUGAACCCCCUGCCUUUCUUGCAACCUACAAUGAAUAAAUUUUCUUUGCAAAG